GUCCACGCCGUAAACUAUGGGUGCUAGCCGUCGGCAAGCUUGCUUGUCGGUGGCGCAGCUAACGCAUUAAGCACCCCGCCUGGGGAGUACGGCCGCAAGGUUAAAACUCAAAGGAAUUGACGGGGGCCCGCACAAGCGGUUGAGCAUGUGGUUUAAUUCGACGCAACGCGAAGAACCUUACCAGCCCUUGACAUGUCCGGACGAUUUCCAGAGAUGGAUUUCUCCUAGCAAUAGGUCGGAACACAGGUGCUUCAUGGCUGUCGU
rnacentral:rRNA from 1 species